rnacentral:lncRNA from 7 species
AGUCUUACAAAAACAAUAGAAGAUGCUGCUUAUGGACUGAAAGUCUUUUCUACUAACCAAGAUAAAGAGUCUUUGUACAUUACAUAGAGUAUCUGGUUCUUCAGAAUGUCUGUGAUCAAGUCAGACAUCAUACUUGCUUGGCAGGGGAGACACCAUGAUGUGAGGCUCAUCCCCUGCACUCUAGGUUGGCUCAAAAUUUCUUUCUGGUGUCCUGUUCCACCCUUUGUGCUCACCAUUUGCAUGCUGGGACAAUGCUGCUGGUUUCUCUCUGGGAAAAUGCACAGGCAGCACAGAGUUGCUGCAUCAACUCAACUGAAGCAUUCCUCCCCAGCUCUUCUGUGUGGUUAAUUUCCCAUUGCACUGAAAAGUGACCUUCUGCAAGUUCUGCCUUGCCUACAGUGGGGAACUAUUUUAAUCUGCUUCGUAUGGCUUUGCCAGUGUGUGGGAUGCAGCACUGAGGCUGAAUACCUCCUUUGAUGGCUAUAUCUGUAGUCCUUCAGAACUGCAGAUGUGUUAAAGGUAACUAAUAGCAUAAAGUACAGGAUUUGUCAGAAGCUCAGUAUGAGUUCAGAAUGUGGGGACGUUCUGCAAUUUUUGGGUGACUUAUGUUAGUAAAAUCCCUACCUUGCCUAGAAAGAUUUCAAAAUGUCCUCCUCCACUUAUUGCUUUAAAGUACCGCUAUACAAUUUCUUAAAGUUUCUAUGUCUACAGUACCAAAGCAUUUUGCCUUCAUAGGAUUUUCUUCAUUCUCUUGUCAACGGCACUGUUGACACUGUCACUGGAGUGAAAUUGCUCCUUCCUUCUGCAAAAGGCAAUGUAAGAAAGCUUUACCUCAUGUAACUUAAGAGGCUAUGUUUUAGAACUUUUUCUGCUUAUUAAACAUUUCAGACCGACCAGAUGCAAAAACCUAAAUUGCAUGUCUGUAACCGCGCAGUUUAGUGCCACAGAAAGAGCAGCAAAACCUAUUUAGCUCAAGGUUCGAUUUUCAUCGUGUAUGGCAAGAAGAUAUACUGAGAAGGAAAUGUAGGCUGGGCUUCCCAUUAAGUGAUGAUUCACUAUUAUUUAAUGGCAGACAAACUGUUAUGGAGCACGUAAAGAAAUCCAAAUAACGUUAACAUUAAUGUAAAUCGAAUUCCUCUCAAUGGAUUCUGUUGCAAUAAGCUAUGAUUAAUACAUGAUGAACUGGAUGUAUAAAUGUUUGUGUUUCCAAAUUUCAGAAUUUCCCAGAGUCAUGAAAUGCGUAGCUAUAUUAUGCCAUCUGGAAGUUUAUUUACUUCAGAGCCUUUAAGGAGAUUAUUACUAGGGUAAAUUUUACUUGCCAGGAGUAAAAAAAAAAAAAAAAAAAAAAAAAAAAAAGG